rnacentral:snRNA from 1 species
ACAUAUGUGUCCUUAUCCCUGGCUGCAACAUCUGUCACCCCACUGAUCGCCAGGGUUGAUUUGGCUGAUCUGGCUAGCUAGGCAGGUGUCCCCCCCCAACCCCCCCACCGAUCCAUGUGCAUCCCUGCCGAAGCUGCGCGCUCAGUGGAAGAUGACCUUCCCCCCAGACGAGAGGACCAGUCUUAGGUCAAGGGUUUACGAGUAGCUGAGCUCCCCUGCUAGAACCUCCAAACAAGCUCUCAAAGAGUACUUUAAAGAAGGGAUUGGAUAUUAUCCUAUUAUCCAUUGUUAAUUUUUAAAAGACAUUUAAAAUCUUUGUUAAU